rnacentral:rRNA from 1 species
CCUACGGGCGGCAGCAGUGAGGAAUAUUGGUCAAUGGGCGUGAGCCUGAACCAGCCAAGUCGCGUGAAGGAUGAAGGAUCUAUGAUUUGUAAACUUCUUUUAUAGGGGAAUAAAGUUAUGCACGUGUGCCUUUUUGUAUGUACCAUAUGAAUAAGCAUCGGCUAACUCCGUGCCAGCAGCCGCGGUAAUACGGAGGAUGCGAGCGUUAUCCGGAUUUAUUGGGUUUAAAGGGUGCGUAGGUGGUUUUUUAAGUCAGCGGUGAAAGUUUGUGGCUCAACCAUAAAAUUGCCGUUGAAACUGGUAGACUUGAGUAUAUUUGAGGUAGGCGGAAUGCGUGGUGUAGCGGUGAAAUGCAUAGAUAUCACGCAGAACUCCGAUUGCGAAGGCAGCUUACUAAGCUAUAACCGACACUGAAGCACGAAAGCGUGGGGAUCAAACAGGAUUAGAUACCCCGGUAGUC